CAGCCGCCGCGGUAAUACGUAGGUGGCGAGCGUUGUCCGGAAUUACUGGGCGUAAAGGGCGCGCAGGCGGGUUUUUAAGUCAGAUGUGUAAUCUACAGGCUCAACCUGUAGUUUGGAUCUGAUACUGGAAAUCUUGAGUGCAGGAGAGGACAGUGGAAUUCCUAGUGUAGCGGUGAAAUGCGUAGAUAUUAGGAGGAACACCAGUGGCGAAGGCGGCUGUCUGGCCUGCAACUGACGCUGAGGCGCGAAAGCGUGGGUAGCGAACAGGAUUAGAUACCCUGGUAGUCCACGCCGUAAACGAUGGGUACUAGGUGUAGGAGGUAUCGACCCCUUCUGUGCCGGAGUUAACACAAUAAGUACCCCGCCUGGGGACUACGGCCGCAAGGCUAAAACUCAAAGGAAUUGACGGGGGCCCGCACAAGCGGUGGAGCAUGUGGUUUAAUUCGACGCAACGCGAAGAACCUUACCAGGGCUUGACAUCCUCUGACGCCCAUAGAGAUAUGGGGUUUGGUCUUCGGACUGACAGAGAGACAGGAGGUGCAUGGCC
rnacentral:rRNA from 1 species